CCAGCUCAGAAGCAGGGGAGGGUGGCAGUGGGGGGAGGGGAGGAGCUCUCACAGCAAAAGGCUGCUUUUCUAUACUCAAGAAGACCACAUUUGGCUGGUUUGACAGUGGGUGUCGUUGAUACAGGAUAUAUCUAUCCUCCAAGCAGUCUAUUUUCAUUUUAAACAUAGAAAUGUACAUCUAUGUGCCCACUUCAUGAGGCAGGCUUCGGGGCUUCGAGAUGGGGCCCACACAGCCCUGUGUGUAUAAACUGCAUCCGAGUCCCAGUAUUUAUGACUCGUUUCAGAUGCUUUAAGCUGAAGCAGGAGCUUAAAGACACUGCAAAGCGAUGUGACUGUGAAAUCUUUCUAUAUUUUUCCAUUUCUUCCUCCUGUUUUUUACACUUCUCCUGCCCACCUAAUUCAGUAGGCUUUUUUUCCCCUUCCCUUCUAUCAAGAUCUUACAAAGUCUUGGUUUUAAUGCAAGAGCUCUGGCCUCUUUCCUGACUCUUCUCAUCAAUUUGCAUAGCAUAUAAUUAAAGGCUGAGAGGAUCAUAAGUAAAAAUGCACAGAAAGGUAUGAAAUCAAAGGUAAUCAGCUCUCACAGGUGACCAAUGGGGCCUCUGCUGAUGUGUUUUACUUUGAAAUGCAAAAUGCCAGUUACAGAGGGGGGGGAGAAUGGGUUGGGGUCUUGCAGACACUAUGUUAGGUGCUUAGAAAGCCAGUCUUAACCUUCCCAACAGCCCUGAGCUGUAGGCCCUCAUUUGGUAGAAGAUAAGAUUAGAAGCAGGAUUGAUCUAUACCCAGGGUGGCUAAUAGGUUUCAUUUGAUCUGCCAAGUCCUUUGUGAGCAGCAUGUGGCAUUCUCAGACUGCAUUAGGCUCAACAGGAGGAUGUGCCUGCUCAGUUAGGGAAAUCUGCUGGAGGUACCGGAAGGGGAAAUGGGGCUUCCAUCUGGAUCUGGAACUUCCUGGAAAGUCUCUAUGCCUCAAUUGAUGUCACCUUUCAGCUGAGGUAGUCACAGGUCCCAGAAGCAAGUAGCCAGAGGGUUAAAGCUAGCUGACCAUUAUUGGCCCUAUCACAGAGCCUCAGCCCUGGGCUUCCACAGCUAAAUAGCCAGCACAGAGAAGGUGCUUCAUGGAGGCCUGAUCACCCCCACCCUCACAUCCUUCCAGUUUCACCAUCUGAAGGGAUCUUGAGUCAGUUGCCUUGUCACCAUCAUCACUAGUCACGAUUAUCUCCAGGCCUUAAAGUCCCUCAACAGGGACCCGGACAAUGGCCUAUCUGGUCCAGCAAAAACACAGGUCUUGCCAAUGGCUCAUAUCUGUCAUCCUAGUUACUCAGAAGGCUG